UCGAGCGAGGCGCGGGGGCAACUCCGCAGUCGAGCGGCGAACGGGUGAGUAACACGUGGAUAACCUGCCCUGAGGCGGGGAACAACCAGGGGAAACUCUGGCUAAUACCGCAUGAUACCGAAAGGUCAAAGGGGGCUCGCAAGGGCUCUCGCCACAGGAGGGGUCCGCGUCCGAUUAGCUAGUUGGUAGGGUAAUGGCCUACCAAGGCCACGAUCGGUAGCCGGCCUGAGAGGGUGAUCGGCCACACUGGAACUGAGACACGGUCCAGACUCCUACGGGAGGCAGCAGUGGGGAAUUUUGCGCAAUGGGCUAACGCCUGACGCAGCAACGCCGCGUGGAGGAUGAAGGUCUUUGGAUUGUAAACUCCUGUCAGCAGGGAAAAAGCGAAUCGGCCUAACACGCCGGUGAGUUGAUUGUACCUGCAGAGGAAGCCCCGGCUAACUCUGUGCCAGCAGCCGCGGUAAUACAGAGGGGGCAAGCGUUAUUCGGGAUUAUUGGGCGUAAAGGGCGCGUAGGCGGCUUUGCAAGUGGAUGGUGAAAUCCCUCGGCUUAACCGAGGAACUGCCAUCCAGACUGCUUUGCUUGAGGCCGGGAGAGGCGAGUGGAAUUCCCAGUGUAGCGGUGAAAUGCGUAGAUAUUGGGAGGAACACCAGUGGCGAAGGCGGCUCGCUGGACCGGUUCUGACGCUGAGGCGCGAAAGCGUGGGGAGCAAACGGGAUUAGAUACCCCGGUAGUCCACGCCGUAA
rnacentral:rRNA from 1 species